CGCCCGACUUGGUAGUCGUUUGGUCGAGCUUCAGUGUAGUAGUCGCGCGGGAUCGGAGCAGCGAACGGUUUUUCGACUCGUAUCGACUCUCCUCGUGCGUUUGAUUUGUUUUAAAACAUUUCACUCGUUUGGUUGUGUGUUACCUUAGAGACUGGCCAGUGGUUGUUGUUGAGAAAAAGCCAAAUAAAAAGAGAGAAAACGUUGUUUGCACUUGGUCAUCACGACAGUCGUUUGCUUUUGUUAAGGAGCCAAUAAAGGAGAGAGAGAGAAGAAAUCGUAUUAUAUUGGAGGGUUGUGCUCAAGGCGAGAGUCCAGGUGCGUCUUCACCCAGGGAAAAAGAAAAAAGAGAAAUAAAGGUGUGCUUGUCGUCUCACGGUGACCAGUGUGUUGGAAUUUUAUCGGGCCCUAUCCACACUACGCUGCUCACGCACACGUGUGUGUGUCGGUAGUAGUGGGUGGUGUUGUUUCGUCAUCCCCCCGAAAAAAGAAGAGUCGGUUUUGGUUUGAAAGUAGAAGAAAAAUUUGUUGCAAACGAAGAGAAAGCCAUGGGAGCUGAACAGAAGAAAUUCAUCGCCAUGCGGCCGGUUUCAUCAUCGUCGUCGGUUUGGCUAAUGGCCGCCUUCGUCUGUUACCUGUGUUCAACGGCUGGAGCUCAAGACGCGCGUUUGGUGAUUCUACCCGACGGGGGUAAUCUGAUCCGACCCGUUGGCGCCAAUAUCGUCCUCACCUGUAAAGGUGAAGUGCCCGAUCCCGAACUGAUUAGCGAGUUGCGCUGGCUUGGACCCAACGGCCAAGAACUACCCAACGGAGACAGCGGUGAAGCUGAUAAUUCCAGGAUCUCGUCCGAGGACUUGGCCAGCGAUGUCGGACGCAUCCUCUUCAUCAAAGGACUUCAAGAGGCCGACAGCGGCAAGUAUACCUGCUCGGCCGUCUACACCAGCAGCCAGCGGCUAGAGGCUCACGUCAAUCUCACCACUAUCGUCGGUAUCACAUGGGAGGAUGCCCCGACGGAGCAGUCGGCCAUCUUUGGCCAGCCGUACAAGGUGCGCUGCGUCGUCCGAGCCAACCCACCGGCAACGAUCGACUGGCAGAGGAACGGCGUUGGAUUUACCACUAACAACCAAUACGUGAUCGAGAACGACGGAGUGCUGAUCCGUGAAGUCAGUCUGGAAGAUGACACGUAUUUCACGUGCCGCGCCCGGGUGCAGACGACCGGCCAGCUGGAAGACAGACGAAUCCGAGUUGAAGUCUUUAUCCCGCCCGAAUUCAUCCGCGAGCCGGUCAACACGUCGAUCGUCGAGGGCGAAGGCGGAUUCAUGGAGUGUCAGGCGUCUGGCAAACCCGAUCCGGUUUACACUUGGCUCGAUCGCAACAAUCAGAACCUCAAUCUCAACCGUGAAAGAUUCAUCGUCGAUGAACAAACGGGCCGGUUGACCAUCAACGACGCCAAGAGGACCGACGAAGGCGAGAUCAAAUGUUUGGUUGAAAAUCGAGCCGGCAAGAUCGAGAAAACUGCUUACUUAAAAGUGAUCAUGAAGCCGGUGGUUGUGGAAUACCUGAACGCAUCGGGGAUCAUGGGCCGCGAAGUGAGCCUGACGUGCAAAGCUUCGGGCGAUCCGUUGCCGGAGGUGACGUUCUUAAAGGAAGGAACGUUGAUCCCGUACACGGUCGGCGUUCAAAAUUCGGACGAUCGCAUCAUCGUCGACACGAGCCGCGAGGGUGAAUACGCUCAAGCCCGUCUCGUCAUCCGAGACUUGAUGCGCUCCGAUGACGGCCUCUACGCUUGUAUCGCCAAAAAUAACGGUGGAAAUUAUACGAAAAAUGGUCACAUUACGGUCGAAUUCCCGCCAACAUUCACCGCGACGCCUAUGCGUGAGGCCUGGUCCUGGGACAAUCAUUUGGUCAAUUUGACGUGCCGCGCCGAAUCGAUCCCCAACGCCACCGUCAGCUGGUUCCUCAAUGGCCGCAACCUCGAGAACGACUACAAUAUCCGCAUGAACGCUUUCAACGGCGAGAGCACCAUCACGGUGACGCCGAUCGAUCUCAGCUAUUACGGAACCUACCGCUGCUUGGCCAUGAACAUUCACGGCAAGGACGAACACGCCAUUGAAUUGCGUGAGGCUCGCGCUCCCGGCCCUCUUCUCCAAACGAAAUUCGAGACCAUUACCGCGACGACCAUCACGUUCAAUUUUAUCGGACCGGUGGAUAACGGCGGACUACCCAUUGAGGCGUUUGCCGUUCAAUACAAAUUAGCCGGACAAGUUUGGGAUGAAAAGCCGUUGCAGCGCGUCUGGCCUGUCGAUAUCCCUUACAUCUUGGAGAAUUUGGAGCCGCAGACAAUUUACUCGUUCCGGUUCGCGGCCAAAAACCAGGUGGGUUACGGCGAGUGGUCGCGCGAAGAGACGCACACGAUGCCAAAACGAGCUGCGCCCGAAGAGCCCUACAUCAUCGCCAAAACGGAGAACAAGGUCGUCUCCACUCCUUAUGCCGAUCGUUACGAGCUGCUCUGGUCCGCGCCGCCAAACAAUGGAGAACCCAUUGAUUAUUUCGAAGUCGCUUAUUACCCCGUGCGCAACACUUCGGCCGGAUUGAUCGAAGCUGGCCAAUUGGUCCGCACUCAAGUACCUUACCCGGCCAACGUUCGUUUCGAAAUGAAGAACCUCAAAGCGGACACGAUUUACCGCAUCGAGUUGAGGGCCCACAACGUCAUCGGAUUCAGCGCUCCCGCCGAGAUCCUUCUGCGCACAGCCAAAGACCCUGCCGCAGUUGAAGUAGAACCGUCCACCGCUUCGCCUCGAGAUCCUGCCUCGUCGUCCCCGCCAGGAGUUAAGACCGGCACUUUCGUCAUCAUUGGAGUCAUAGUGGUCGUCCUCAUAUUUAUCGCCUUGAUCAUCGACGUCUCGUGCUACUUUGUCAACAAGAGAGGUUUGACGUACAUGAUUUGCAGUCGAUCAGGUCGGAACAAGAGCAGCGGUCGGAACGGUAGCAACAAAAAUGCAGCGCUCAUGGAAGGUGGCAAAGAGGAACACAAUGACGAGAAAACGCCGCUGAGAGAAGUGACGGUCGAGUUCCAGGAUGCCUCCCGCGACACACCCCGUGCAGACCAACGACAGCAGCAGCAGCAACAGACGGCCCAAGUCGAUCAACCUAGUCCCACUUUGAUCAAAGCUCUGCGUUUCGCUGGCGAUAAACUGCACAAAACCCCAGUAACCACUCGCUGGCCGACUAAUAGUCCUAGUAACGCCGGUUUGUUGGCAACAGACGAUCGGUCAACUGGAAGAGGACCGACUAGUCGGGAGCCCGUCCAGCCGUUAAACAGACGAUUCGAGCCUCUCCAUUCCGACAUUUAAAAGCCGAAACACAUUCUUCUUCUUCUUAUUUUCUUCUUUCUCAUCUUCCUAUCGUAACCCACUCUACACACGCAAAACAACUCCCCCAAAAAUGGCAUGCUCUUCUUUGCCUAGCUUGACGACCAGAAGGAGUUGAUCAAGGAUGAUGUGACAGACAUCAACAACGGUCUCAAGAAGAGCGCGUCCAAGUCCAGUGUGGCCAAAGACUCUCCAGUUUAGCGCGUGUCAAACGUCCGCCCGUAGUAGUACUUUUUUUU
rnacentral:misc_RNA from 1 species